ACUUUCCUUUUAGACAAGACCCAACACGCUGGUAACGAGCCAAUGCAAGUUGAGCAGUCAUUUUUUAGAGUAUAAAACUGGGACAUAACAAAGAUCCAUAAGACACAUGCCCACAUCAUGUUCUAUAUCAAAGAGACCAAACAGUGUCAAUACACCACUACAUCAACAAAAUGAUUAAUGAUGUGGUUCAAAGAGACAACUUUAGGGAUCAUCUAGUGUCGUAAAAACAACACAAGAUGAAAGGAACUAUAAGAAACCAAAAAUAUGCCUUUUGUGAGGUAAGCAACACAAGAAACCCACAAUUUAAGAUGGUUGUUGAAACCAAAUGAAAAGGUAUGUAAGGUGGAAGUUGUUGCGAAAGCAAAGAGCCAUCCACCAUUAACAAACC
rnacentral:misc_RNA from 1 species